CCUUUUCGGGAUCCCCUUUGGAAGGCUUCGGGUAAGGGGUAGCGGGGAGCAGGUGUGCGCGGACAGCCCGCAAAACCUAGAGCGUCUCCUCCAGGUAGCUGGUGGCGACAAGCGGCUACAAAGGCGGUGGGUCUCCCUCUCCUUGUUCGGCCGGCUGAAGUGGACUCAAGUAGCCUCAAGUGCAGAAGAGGUGGCGGCGAACUCCUGCGGGGCGGUGGCAACUCGUGGUGGUGGCGGAGGCGGUGAGUGGAGGCGUGGGCAGGCAGUGGAGCGGAAGCGGCCUCUGGGUGGUCUCCUCGCAACGGCGGUUGCGGGUUCUGGCGGUAGCAAAAGGAGACAAAACCUAACAGGCCUCACGCUGCGCUCGAUAACAGUCCUCACACUGAAAGACUUGGUCUUGGUUCCUAUAAGUCUGCUUCUCAUUCCAUGGUAAUCCUAGCGCUCAGACGUGAGUCGUAGUGGUCACCCGAUACUACCCUGAGUAGCAAUAAAAGACGAUGAAAGGCGACAAACUAACUUAUUUCGAUCGGUUCACGAUACGUCUAACAAAAUAAAAUAUAUAAGACCUAGUAUGUAACAUUAUUUA
rnacentral:rRNA from 1 species